CCCUCCGUGGGCGGGUUUCCCUCUGGACUCUCUUCCCUUCCCUCCACACUUCCUCGGUUCCUUCCAGGCCUGGCCCUGAAGCCCUGCUCCAGGUUUGAGCCUAUUUCCUCUAACAGCGCCUAUCCGCUUCAGCCCAAGACCCCCUCCGCAUUCACGCCCGUGCUCUCGUUCCCCUCGUGGGCACGCCCCUUCAGGGGCGGAGCUGAGCCAGGUGCGGCCCCGGGGCGUGGCCGGGUUCCGGGAGCGCAGGUGCGGCGUCCGCGUCAAGAUGGCUGCCGCCUGUCGGUCUGAGGCUGGCCUCCUUCCCAGCCUCCUCUGCCGCCGGCCCGCCGGGGCCCAGCUGCUGCGAGUUGCCCUGUGUCUCCUGUGCUGGGUCCCGGCGGCUGUGGACGCAGUCCCCGAGCUCGGGCUUUGGACGAGGACGGUCAAUGACAAAUCAGGACCUUUGGUAUUCAGGAAAACUAUGUUUAACUCUACUGAGAUCAAGUUUUCUGUGAAGUCGUUCAGUUGUUCUGGACCUGUGAAGUUUACCAUAGAGUGGCAUUUGAAGUAUCAUACCUGUCACAAUGAUUACCCUGAUCUGGAGGAGGAGCUGUCCCAAAGACAUGAACUUCAUGCUGAUCCAGAUGUCUGUGCUUACUUCAAAAACAUUGACUGUUGGACAACAAAAAGUGAAAACUUGGAUUGCAGCAGUGAUUCACAGGCAUUUCCCUCAUUGAAUAAUAAAGAACUAACAGGUAUCAGAAACAUUUCAAGCCAGGAAGGAUCAACGGAUGUUGUAGCCAGGACCCAGAAAGAUGGCUUCCAUAUCUUCAUUGUUUCUAUUAAAACGGAGAAAACAGAUGCAGUCUGGGAUUUAAAUGUUUCUCUUUCUAUGGUGGGUCCUCAUGGGUACAUCUCUGCAUCAGACUGGCCUCUCAUGAUUUUUUAUAUGGUGAUGUGUAUCGUUUACAUAUUAUAUGGUGUCCUCUGGCUGCUGUGGUCUGCCUGUUACUGGAAAGAUAUAUUAAGAAUUCAGUUCUGGAUUGCAGCUGUUAUUUUCCUAGGAAUGCUUGAAAAGGCAGUUUUUUAUAGUGAAUACCAAAACAUCAACAGCACUGGACUGUCAACUCAAGGUUUACUGAUAUUUGCAGAGCUGAUAUCUGCAGUUAAGAGGACAUUGGCUCGCCUGCUUGUGAUCAUUGUGAGCUUGGGUUAUGGCAUUGUGAAGCCUCGCUUAGGAACAGUGAUGCACCGGGUGAUUGGACUGGGACUGCUUUACUUGAUCUUUGCAGCCAUUGAAGGCGUCAUGAGAGUCAUCGGGGGUUCUAAACAUUUAGCUGUUGUUUUGACUGACAUUGUUUUAGCAGUUAUUGACUCCAUUUUUGUGUGGUUCAUAUCCUUUACCAUGUCCUUCCAAAAUAGUUGGUGGUAUCAUUAAAAUCAGAUUACUUUUAAUUCAUAAUAAUAGUGGAAUAAAAUAUAGUUGUACGUUAUGGUUUUCUCAAUGUAGGAGUUUAGUUAAAGGCAAGAAAGAGCUAACUCGCCAGACAGGAAUGUCUCUAUUUUUUUGUUAAUUCAUGAAGUAUGUACACUUAAGUGCGCACCUCACACAGUGAGGCACAAAAAGAGUACUGUCUCUAUGUUUGCAGAGUUCACACCUGAUAAAGAGACAAGUGUGUGACUUCAUUGAAGCAGCAUAGAUGAAAUCGCCAUUUUAGAGUGCUGGUGUGAGACUAGAGGCAGGAGGAAAACUCUGGCAGAAAAAGUAAAGAUGUCACAUGUCCUAGCUUAGGUUUAUUGUGUGUAAAUGUGGUGAGGAGUCAUGGCAGAUGAGGUCAUAGGGAAGAUAUAAUGGCAUGGAUGAGUCCUGUGUAGCCUCUGCAGUGGCUUCUCAGAGAUACUUGCCUUCCUGUGGUGAAUGGACAGGAAGUAGAUACCUCUGGAGCUGGAACAGCAGAGCUGCAGUAGAGAUGGAGGCAACCCCUCCCUUAGCAGUGCCUCUCUGUCCUGACGGCCUGGCCUCUGCCUUGGUGCAUUUACAAAGGAGCCCAAGCUACCUCUUUUCCAAAGUGGUUUGUGCUUGGAACUUUUGAGAAGUCAGGGAAUAGAUCUUGCAUUAAGCAAUUGAGCUUUAGACUUCAUCCUAAAGAAUUUUAUAGCCAGUUGUGGUGGUGCACACCUUUAAUCCUAGUACUUGGGAGGCAGAGGCAGGUAGAUCUCUGAGUUGGAGGCCAACAUGAACUAUAAAGAGAAUUCAGAGACAGUCAGGACUAUAUAAGGAGACCCUAUCUCAAAACAAAUAAACAAACAAAAUGUGCUGUUUUCUCAUGGGAACUUAAAGAUAACAUUCAGAGAUUUCUUCUUAAUUAUCCACAGAGGGACUUAGUGGGAAGCACUCAGGUUUAGGUAACUGUAGAAGACAAGUCUCCUUUGGACAGCAUGGACUUUGUUACUUUCCAGUACAUUGGGGUGGGAAUGUGAGGAAAGCAAGGUGAAAGGUUUAAUUUACUCAGUGGUCAUAAAGAAACCCAGAAAUUAAAAUAGUUCUGGAUGGUAUUGAGGGUGACCAGAAGUAAGGUACUGUAGUACUCCUUUCCUUUGAACUUGAGUGUGUAAAGUUCCCUCUCAGCUGCUCUUUGGUCAUUUUUAGUACUAUAAAGUGAGAAAUGGGUUUUCUGAAUGGUUACAGAUGAUAAGCAGAUAGAUACAAGCAAGGGUAGAUAUAAAAUUGAUGGGUUUGGAUAAUGGCUUUGUUGACUUUUAUUUCAGUGAACCUAACACAAAAGCAGUUAAUCCUGUAAGAAUCUAACUUACAGGUUCAGAGUUGGUAGCCUUUCUAUGUCUCCCCAUGUCCCCGCCCCACCCCCUUUCCUGCUUGGUUAUUGUUUUUGCUGUUUUGCUGCAGGCGAAUGACUCUGAUCUUGUUCUUCUGGCCAGCCUGCCUCUCUCUCUCCUUGACUCGGGCUUGUGCUGGUGGAUUUUUAUAAGUUUGGCACAGACUAUGAAGACUCUAAGGCUAAGAAAGAACACAGUGAAAUUUUCAUUGUAUAGGCAUUUUACAAAUACACUCAUCUUUGCAGUGCUGGCUUCUAUAGUGUUUAUGGUGUGGACAACAAAGACCUUCAGGAUCGCAAAAUGCCAAUCAGACUGGAUGGAGCUGUGGGUUGACGAUGCGUUUUGGAGCUUCCUCUUUUCAGUCAUCCUUAUUGUGAUAAUGUUCUUAUGGAGGCCGUCAGCAAAUAAUCAGAGGUAUGCCUUCAUGCCCUUGAUAGAUGACUCUGAUGAUGAAGUCGAGGAAUUCAUGGUAACAUCUGAAAAUUUAACUGAGGGAAUAAAACUAAGAGCCUCAAAAACGGUUUCAAACGGAACAGCUAAACCUACGUCUGAUAAUUUUGAUGAAGAUUUGAAGUGGGUGGAAGAAAACAUUCCCUCUUCGUUCACAGAUGUAGCUCUCCCAGUGUUAGUGGACUCAGAUGAGGAAAUUAUGACCAGAUCUGAAAUAGCUGAAAAAAUGUUCUCUUCAGAAAAGAUAAUGUGAUCAGGGCCCCAGUGGGUCCGGUGUGUGCAGGAGCACAGUCAGGUGAUGGGAAAAGCCUGGCUCUCAUCAAAACUGACAGCUUCACUAUGAUACGUGUUUCCCUUUGUUGUCUUGGAGAUCUGUGUAUGCAGAUGAAGAAUUCAGGAGUGGGAGGGUCUGCCACCCUCAGAAAGCCAUCUUUAAAACUAACUUAGACAGUCAGUUUCAUGGCCAUUAAGUUGCCUGAUUUGGAAACAAUUUAAGAAGUUAACAACAUGUGCUCAGAUGCCUCUUAGGCGGCAGCCACAGGCAUGCCAUGUUGUGUGUCUCAGUUUUCUCUGGACAAACGAAUCUGUAGCUGGGCUGGCGGCACACUACUGGUAAAUUCAAAACCACGCCUGGUCUACAUAGUUCUGGGACAACCAGAGAGAGCUACAUAGUGAGACCCUGCCUCAAAAAAAACAAAAACCAAAAAGGAAAAGGAAAGAGAAGAAUCUAUGAGCAUUCCUUCCCUCGCCUUCGAGAUAACGUGAUUCUCCUGAAUGCUAACACAGCACUGUUCAUCUUUUGUAAUGAUAAUUUUAUUUGAUUUUUUUAUACUGAAGUGACAAUAUUGGAACUCGAGCAUGUUCAUAUAUUUAAUCUUGUCCCUUUCAUUGGUGUACACAAAGCUCUUGUUUGUAAAUACCACCAUGCACUACACAUCACGGAGUCUGAGCUCGGGAACACGUAUGGGCAAAGAGAGACGUCUUGAGGGUAUGUCCAAAGACUUGCAGGCCACAGGUACACGUGCUGCUGCUACUUCUGCUGUGAACCUGGCCAUGUGACUCCCCUACAGCACUUUAUCUCAGCCCCGGUGCACUGUUUCUUGUGAGCCUUGUGGAGACUUGUGAGAUAUACAAACAUCUAACCUUACCAUGCAUCAACAUGUACUUAACCAGCUCUCAACCAUAUCUUACACCUUGUUGUUAAAUUAUGUUUAUAAUGUAUGAUUGAAAGUUUCUAUUCUAAUAUUUUUUGAAUAUAGAAUGUUCUAGACUUGAAAGGCACUUGAAUGUAGAGUGAUGAAAAUGUGAACGUUUUGCCACGUUCGUGACCAAAGAUACCAGGCUGUUGGACAUGUAAUGUGGUAAUGACAGGCAGGGUCUUGUAUGCCUUCUCUGGAGGACUUCUGCCCUGUGAGUUAGAAUAACUUGGGAUAAUUGAGAAAACAUGAAAAUGACAAGGAAGAGCACUAUCCAUAGCCUAUGAUGAUUUUUUCACUGUGGCACCACAAAACAAAAGGUUUUCUUUCAAAUGCCUAC